CGGGAAUGCCACGCUGAUGCGAUUUCGGUCAAAUCAUGUGGCAUUCGAGUGGCGGACGGGUGAGUAACGCGUGGGUAACCUGCCUUACACAGGGGGAUAACACCUGGAAACAGGUGCUAAUACCGCAUAAGCGCACAGGGCCGCAUGGCCCGGUGUGAAAAACUCCGGUGGUGUAAGAUGGACCCGCGUCUGAUUAGCUUGUUGGCGGGGUAGGGGCCCACCAAGGCGACGAUCAGUAGCCGGCCUGAGAGGGUGGACGGCCACAUUGGGACUGAGACACGGCCCAAACUCCUACGGGAGGCAGCAGUGGGGGAUAUUGGACAAUGGGGGAAACCCUGAUCCAGCGACGCCGCGUGAGUGAAGAAGUAUUUCGGUAUGUAAAGCUCUGUCAGCAGGGAAGAAAGAAAUGACGGUACCUGACCAAGAAGCCCCGGCUAACUACGUGCCAGCAGCCGCGGUAAUACGUAGGGGGCAAGCGUUAUCCGGAAUUACUGGGUGUAAAGGGAGCGUAGACGGUGAUGCAAGUCUGGAGUGAAAGGCGGGGGCCCAACCCCCGGACUGCUCUGGAAACUGUGUAACUUGAGUGCAGGAGAGGUAAGCGGAAUUCCUAGUGUAGCGGUGAAAUGCGUAGAUAUUAGGAGGAACACCAGUGGCGAAGGCGGCUUACUGGACUGUAACUGACGUUGAGGCUCGAAAGCGUGGGGAGCAAACAGGAUUAGAUACCCUGGUAGUCCACGCCGUANACGAUGAUUACUAGGUGUCGGNGGGUAUGGACCCAUCGGUGCCGCAGCAAACGCAGUAAGUAAUCCACCUGGGGAGUACGUUCGCAAGAAUGAAACU
rnacentral:rRNA from 1 species